ACGCAGGAAUUUUAUUUAUAAAAAAUACUGAUUAUCAUAUUUAACAUCUUUACCAAUACAUGUACAAUUUAACAUAUUUCUAUUAGUUUAAACAUAUUUAUUUAUAGUGGAUUGGGAAACAAGUUUUGCAACUUAUAUUAAUCCCUUUCCACUUUGCGGGUGCGAGUUCUAUGACACUAUUACAAAACAAAAAAAAUCUUGCAAAAGCACAUGAUAUGUGUUUACAAACCAGAUGCUCCGCAGGGCGCAGCUUUAUACGAUCGCUUAGUUCGAACCCUAACAGUUGGGCAAGUAUUGACACAACAUUCAAGCUUGAUACAGCUCUGAAUUUGGAUUGUGAUUAAAUAGUUGACACAGCAUAGGUUUCUGACACAGAAUGAAUGGGGUCUUAAAAUUUAAAAAUUUUAAAAUGGACAUUAACUUUUGUGGUCCAAUAUUCAAAAUCUAAAUACAUGGUUAGAUUCAGCAUAUCAAAGAACCCCACAUAUUCAUUUUUUUUUUUUUGUAAUCAAACAAAGUUUAAUUUUGAACCCCGAGUUUGACCAAGCGGGCCCAUAAUGUAAAAUCUAAGUACAUGUUCAGAUUCAGCACAUCAAAGAACCCCAAGAAUUCCAAUUUUUGUUAAAAUCAAACUAAGUUUAAUUUUUGGACCCUUAAGACCUUAAUGUAAACCAAUUUGAAAACAGGACCAAAAAUUAAGAAUCUAAAUACACGGUUAGAUUCUGCAUAUCAAAGAACCCCAAUCAUUCAAUUUUUGAUGUAAUCAAACAAAGUUUAAUUUUGUACCCUUUUGGCCCCUAAUUAUUAAACUGUUGGGUCCAAAUCCCCCAAAAUCAAUCCAAACAUUCCUUUAGUGGUUAUAAACCUUGUGUUAAUUUUUUUUUAUUUCUAUUUACUUAUACUAAAGUUAUUAUCCGGAAAUCAUCCGUCUUCGGACGACGCUGACUUCGACGACGCAGACGUCG
rnacentral:lncRNA from 1 species